rnacentral:rRNA from 1 species
UACAGAGGGUGCGAGCGUUGUCCGGAAUUACUGGGCGUAAAGAGCUCGUAGGUGGUUUGUCGCGUUGUCCGUGAAAACUCACAACUCAAUUGUGGGCGUGCGGGCGAUACGGGGCAGACUGGAGUACUGCAGGGGAGACUGGAAUUCCUGGUGUAGCGGUGGAAUGCGCAGAUAUCAGGAGGAACACCGGUGGCGAAGGCGGGGUCUCUGGGGCAGUAACUGACGCUGAGGAGCGAAAGCGUGGGGAGCGAACAGG